rnacentral:lncRNA from 1 species
UCUGGUGCAGAUGUCACCGUCGAUGGUCCGUCAGGACAGGUUUGCUUGGAGCUCUCGGCACUUGGAACCCCGAGUUUUAAGGACGUCAGAGGAGAAGUGGCAACAGCUGUCAGGCAGAUGUGGUGGCCCACGUCUAUGGGGACUCGGGCACCUGACUAACGCUGUCAAUGCUUCGGGUUUCUUCUCAGAAAAAUGGCAAAAUAAAAGCCUCUCCAACCUCCUGCA